GUGACAAUUCAACAUGGUUAUAGUUGUCAAUAAAACAAUCUAAGAUGCUUUGAUCCUCGUCCUUCUAGUUGUUGUAGUCGUUGAAAGUUGAAAGCGUGAAGCUAAUGCACAAGUCUUAGAAGAGGAUCUCUAUGGCCUAUAUCCAUGCUUCUCUUUUGAGCUCCAAUGAGGAAGAAGAGUGCAUUGCAUGAUGUGGGUGGGUAGAGCAAUGGUGACAAAGUUAAUGAGGGUGAGACGGCCAACAAAAGAAAGACUGUUUGCUUUCCAACUAGCCAGCCUAGCACGGAGCUUAUCAAUGAUGAAGUUGUACACCCUUUUGUUGCGUCUGUCAGUGAGGAUGUGGGUGCCAAGGUAGUUGCCAAAGUCUCUUGUGGAGGAGAAACCAAACUCAUUCUCAACCAUCUCAAUGUUGCGGGGGGAAGUGCAAGGAGAGAAGAAGAUUUUGGAUUUUGAGUGAUUGAUUUUUUGACUGGAGGCAAGGCAGAAGGUGUCAAGGACUUUCUUGAUGGUAUGAUAGUUUUUUAAGGAGGCCGUUGCAAAGAGGAUGAGAUCGUCGGCGAAAAAAAGGUGAGUGAAGGUAGGUCCAUUUCUAGAGGCUUUGAUGCCUUUCCAAUUACCGGAUGAAACUUCUUCUUGAAUGAGCCAAGCAAGGUAUUCCAUGCAGAGGAUGAAGACGUAAGGGGAGAGGGGAUCCCCUUGUUUGAUGCCUCUAGAAGGGUGGAAGGGAUCUAGACGGUCACCAUUGAGAAGAAUUGAGAGGUUAGAAGAGGAGAUGCAAGACAUGAUAAGCAAGAUUCAAUCAAGUGGGAAUUUAAAGUAGAUAAGGGUUUGCCUAGUAAAACCCCAUUCCAAUCUGUCAAAAGCUUUCUCCAAGUCAAUUUUGAUGGCCAUAGUGCCCUUUUUGCUUUUUGAGGUGGUCAUCGAAUGUAUGAUUUCUUGAGUGAGAAUGAUAUUGUUCAUUUUAUUCA